rnacentral:rRNA from 1 species
GACGAACGCUGGCGGCGUGCUUAACACAUGCAAGUCGAACGGAAAGGCCCUGCUCUUGCGGGGUGCUCGUGUGGCGCACGGGUGAGUAACACGUGAGUAACCUGCCCUUGUCUUUGGGAUAACUUCAGGAAACUGGGGAUCAUACCGGAUAGGAGCUCCUGAUGCAUGGUGGGGGUUGGAAAGAUUCGGCGGUUGGGGAUGGACUGGCGGCUUAUCCGCUUGUUGGUGGGGUAGUGGUUUACCAAGGCUUUGACGGGUAGCCGGCCUGAGAGCGUGACCGGCCACAUGGGGACUGAGAGACGGCCCAGACGGGUACGGGAGGCAGCAGGGGGGAGUAUUGCACAGUGGGCCGAAGCCAGAUGCAGCGACGCCGCGUGCGGGAUGACGUCCUACGGGUUGUAAACCACUGUCGCCGGUGACGAGGCGUGAGUGACGGUAAUGGGUAAGAAAGCACCGGCUAACUACGUG